GGAGUCUGGGCCGUAUCUCAGUCCCAAUGUGGCCGUUCAACCUCUCAGUCCGGCUACUGAUCGUCGACUUGGUGAGCCGUUACCUCACCAACUAUCUAAUCAGACGCGAGCCCAUCUCAGAGCACAUAAAGCUUUGACUUCCAGAAGAUGCCUUCCGAAAGUAUUAUGCGGUAUUAGCAGCCGUUUCCAGCUGUUGUCCCCCACUCUGAGGCAGGUUGCUCACGCGUUACUCACCCGUCCGCCACUAAGUCACAACUUCCGUUGACCGAAGUCUCCUUCCAUUGUGCUUCGUUCGACUUGCAUGUGUUAGGCACGCCGCCAGCGUUCAUC
rnacentral:rRNA from 1 species